rnacentral:rRNA from 1 species
GACGAACGCUGGCGGCGUGCUUAACACAUGCAAGUCGAACGGAAAGGCCCUGCUUUUGUGGGGUGCUCGAGUGGCGAACGGGUGAGUAACACGUGAGUAACCUGCCCUUGACUUUGGGAUAACUUCAGGAAACUGGGGCCAAUACCGGAUAGGAGCUCCUGCUGCAUGGUGGGGGUUGGAAAGUUUCGGCGGUUGGGGAUGGACUCGCGGCUUAUCAGCUUGUUGGUGGGGUAGUGGCUUACCAAGGCUUUGACGGGUAGCCGGCCUGAGAGGGUGACCGGCCACAUUGGGACUGAGAUACGGCCCAGACUCCUACGGGAGGCAGCAGUGGGGAAUAUUGCACAAUGGGCGGAAGCCUGAUGCAGCAACGCCGCGUGCGGGAUGACGGCCUUCGGGUUGUAAACCGCUUUCGCCUGUGACGAAGCGUCAGUGACGGUAAUGGGUAAAGAAGCACCGGCUAACUACGUG